CCUACGGGAGGCAGCAGUGGGGAAUAUUGCACAAUGGGCGAAAGCCUGAUGCAGCGACGCCGCGUGAAGGAAGAAGGAUUUCGGAAUGUAAACUUCUAUCAGCAGGGAAGAAAGUGAACGUAGCUAACUAAGAAGCACCGGCUAGCUCCGGGCCAGCAGCCGCGGUAAUACGUAGGGGGAGAGCGUUAGCCGGAUUUACUGGGGGUAACGGGAGCGUAGGCGGUUUAGCAAGUCAGGAGUGAAAGCCCGGCGCUCAACGUCGGGACUGCCUUUGAAACUGUUGAACUGGAGUGCAGGAGAGGUUAGUGGAAUUCCAGGUGUAGCGGUGAAAUGCGUAGAUAUCAGGAGGAACACCAGUGGCGAAGGCGACUUACUGG
rnacentral:rRNA from 1 species